rnacentral:tRNA from 2 species
AGAAAAAUAAGCUAAUAAAAGCUAUUAGGUUCAUACCCUAAACAUAGAAUAAUAUUCUUUUUUCUA